GACGAACGCUGGCGGCGUGCUUAACACAUGCAAGUCGAACGAAGAGCGAUGGAAGCUUGCUUCUAUCAAUCUUAGUGGCGAACGGGUGAGUAACGCGUAAUCAACCUGCCCUUCAGAGGGGGACAACAGUUGGAAACGACUGCUAAUACCGCAUACGAUCUAAUCUCGGCAUCGAGGAUAGAUGAAAGGUGGCCUCUACAUGUAAGCUAUCACUGAAGGAGGGGAUUGCGUCUGAUUAGCUAGUUGGAGGGGUAACGGCCCACCAAGGCGAUGAUCAGUAGGCGGUCUGAGGGGAUGGACGGCCACAUUGGGACUGAGAAACGGCCCAGACUCCUACGGGAGGCAGCAGUGGGGAAUCUUCCGCAAUGGACGAAAGUCUGACGGAGCAACGCCGCGUGAGGGAUGACGGCCUUCGGGUUGUAAAGCUCUGUUAAUCGGGACGAAAGGCCUUCUUGCGAAUAGUGAGAAGGAUUGACGGUACCGGAAUAGAAAGCCACGGCUAACUACGUG
rnacentral:rRNA from 1 species